UGGGGGAGGAAGGGGGGGAAGUGAGCAAGAGGCUGCGUGACUCUGAGUUCCUGGCUGGACUUAAACCAUGACACUGCUGAACCCAGGAUACUUCUUAAUUCAGCUCUUAAUCAUUUAGAGUAUCUGUCUCAGGGAACUGAUAUUUUUGAGUACAUACCAGAAUUCCUCAUGGAAAAUGAGCGCAUGGUAGACAAGCAUGCAUUUUGAACACUCAUUCUCCUUGUAAUUUCUGAAUACAAACACCAGUUGGAAGGAUCUCUGCCUGCUAAGAAGCUCAUCCGUUCCACAGCUCAUCAUGACUCCACAGACUUCAUGAGAUACAUUGCCAUGGAUUGUAGUGGAGUUUUAGGCACUGACUCACAGGUGAAUGACUGAAAUACAGCCAUCUAAAAUCUGGGGCUGAAUUGUCUCCAGUAGUGCUGGACUCAACAAUUUUCUCUGUCAGCUAAAGUGAAGAGCAAAGACUCGUCUCCAUCUAUUUAUUUUCACUCAAGCAUAAAGACUAUGAUUCUAUGAACAGACAGCUAAUAAAGGUUUUCUCAUGAAGACAGAGGCAUCUAGUUCAUGUCUGUCCUGGGUUCAGCAGUAGCAGUCAUUUUUAAACCAUGACAAUGUCCCUUGUUAAACUAAAAGCUAACUAGUUAAAAUAAAGAAAUGAAUGAUAGCAACAUAACUUCAGCUUCAUUUAUUGGGAAAAAAUGCAGAGAAUAAGGACAAAAGUGAUGAAUUAGAGAUGGGUAUCUGAAGCAUGUAUGACUGCAAAUAAGUCCGAUUUCUAUUUCCCCUUGAAACUGUGCUGCUUGUUGCCCUGU